rnacentral:rRNA from 1 species
CAGUAGCCGCGGUAAUACGGAGGGGGCUAGCGUUGUUCGGAAUUACUGGGCGUAAAGCGCACGUAGGCGGCUUUGUAAGUUAGAGGUGAAAGCCUGGAGCUCAACUCCGGAAUUGCCUUUAAGACUGCAGAGCUAGCAGGUGAGAGAGGUGAGUGGAAUUCCGAGUGUAGAGGUGAAAUUCGUAGAUAUUCGGAAGAACACCAGUGGCGAAGGCGGCUCACUGGCUCAUACUGGACGCUGAGGUGCGAAAGCGUGGGGAGCAAACAGGAUUAGAUACCCCCGUAGUCCCUGUCUCUUAUAA